AAUACCUCUGUGAACAAGGAGAAGCACUACUAUCUUGGUUGAAAACACUCUUAUUCGUAACAAAACCGAAAGCUCCUGUGUCUGAUCUUUUAAUAGACUUUCAAGGACACAUUUUCAAGAGGUAUGGGAAACCAGAAUACGCUACACCCAAAUGUGCCUCUUUGGCAGAAGUCUGAUUGGGCUGAAGGAAUUAAGAACAAGCAGAAGCAGGAAGGCUCUUUGCCCUCUCUCUAUUUGCCUAAAAUUGGGAUGUAAAUUUACA
rnacentral:lncRNA from 10 species